GAGUCGUUGGGACUACGCAAUAAACCUAUAAGGCGAAAUGAAAGUAAAGGCCCGCCUCGCGCGGGCCGAGGGAGGAUGGGACCGUCCGCGGACGGACCCCGCACUCCCGGGGCGUCUCGUUCUCAUUGCGAGAAGAGGCGCACCCAGAGCGUACACGCUGGGACCCGAAAGAUGGUGAACUAUGCCUGGUCAGGACGAAGUCAGGGGAAACCCUGAUGGAGGUCCGUAGCGAUUCUGACGUGCAAAUCGAUCGUCGGAACUGGGUAUAGGGGCGAAAGACUAAUCGAACCUUCUAGUAGCUGGUUCCCUCUGAAGUUUCCCUCAGGAUAGCUGGCACUCGCCUUGCGAGUCUCAUUCGGUAAAGCGAAUGAUUAGAGGCAUUGGGGUCGAAACGGCCUCAACCUAUUCUCAAACUUUAAAUGGGUGAGAACUCCGGCUUGCUUAAAGCAUGAAGCCGCGAGAAACAAUUAUAUAUGGAUCGAGAGUGCCAAGUGGGCCACUUUUGGUAAGCAGAACUGGCGCUGUGGGAUGAACCAAACGCCGAGUUAAAGCGCCAAAAUCGACGCUUAUUGGACACCAUGAAAGGCGUU
rnacentral:rRNA from 1 species